rnacentral:rRNA from 1 species
AGUGCAUGUGGUGGAUGCCUUGGCAGUCAGAGGCGAUGAAAGACGUGAUAGCCUGCGAAAAGCUCCGGGGAGGCGGCAAAUAUCCUUUGAUCCGGAGAUGUCUGAAUGGGGGAACCCACCUACUUUAAGGUAGGUAUUGCAACAUGAAUACAUAGUGUUGCAAGGCGAACGAGGGGAAGUGAAACAUCUCAGUACCCUUAGGAAAAGAAAUCAAUUGAGAUUCCCUCAGUAGCGGCGAGCGAACGGGGAUCAGCCCAUUAAGUUAUGUGUGUUUUAGUGGAACGCUCUGGGAAGUGCGAACGUAGAGGGUGAUAUUCCCGUACACGAAAGGGCACACAUAAUGAUGACGAGUAGGGCGAGGCACGUGAAACCUUGUCUGAAUAUGGGGGGACCAUCCUCCAAGGCUAAAUACUCCUGACUGACCGAUAGUGAACCAGUACCGUGAGGGAAAGGCGAAAAGAACCCCUGUGAGGGGAGUGAAAUAGAUCCUGAAACCGCAUGCAUACAAGCAGUGGGAGCACCUUCGUGGUGUGACUGCGUACCUUUUGUAUAAUGGGUCAGCGACUUAUAUUCAGUAGCGAGGUUAACCGUAUAGGGGAGCCGUAGAGAAAUCGAGUCUUAAUAGGGCGUUUAGUUGCUGGGUAUAGACCCGAAACCAGGCGAUCUAUCCAUGAGCAGGUUGAAGGUUGGGUAACACUAACUGGAGGACCGAACCCACUGUCGUUGAAAAGCCAGGGGAUGACUUGUGGAUAGGGGUGAAAGGCUAAUCAAGCCUGGUGAUAGCUGGUUCUCCCCGAAAGCUAUUUAGGUAGCGCCUCGGACGAAUACCAUAGGGGGUAGAGCACUGUUUCGGCUAGGGGGUCAUCCCGACUUACCAAACCGAUGCAAACUCCGAAUACCCAGAAGUGCCGAGCAUGGGAGACACACGGCGGGUGCUAACGUCCGUCGUGAAAAGGGAAACAACCCAGACCGCCAGCUAAGGUCCCAAAGUUGUGGUUAAGUGGUAAACGAUGUGGGAAGGCUUAGACAGCUAGGAGGUUGGCUUAGAAGCAGCCACCCUUUAAAGAAAGCGUAAUAGCUCACUAGUCGAGUCGGCCUGCGCGGAAGAUGUAACGGGGCUAAAACUAUGUGCCGAAGCUGCGGAUGUAUACUUUGUAUACGUGGUAGGGGAGCGUUCUGUAAGCCGAUGAAGGUGUGUUGAGAAGCAUGCUGGAGGUAUCAGAAGUGCGAAUGCUGACGUGAGUAACGACAAAACGGGUGAAAAACCCGUUCGCCGAAAGACCAAGGGUUCCAGUCCAACGUUAAUCGGGGCUGGGUGAGUCGACCCCUAAGGCGAGGCCGAAAGGCGUAGUCGAUGGGAAAAUGGUUAAUAUUCCAUUACUUCUGUGUAAUGCGAUGAGAGGACGGAGAAGGCUAAAUCAGCCUGGCGUUGGUUGUCCAGGUGAAAGGAUGUAGGCAUGUAUCUUAGGCAAAUCCGGGGUACUCUAUGCUGAGAUCUGAUAGCAAGCUGUACUUGUACAGCGAAGUGGUUGAUGCCAUGCUUCCAGGAAAAGUCUCUAAGCUUCAGUUACACAGGAAUCGUACCCGAAACCGACACAGGUGGUCAGGUCGAGUAGACCAAGGCGCUUGAGAGAACUCUGCUGAAGGAACUAGGCAAAAUGGUACCGUAACUUCGGGAGAAGGUACGCUGUUGUUGGUGAUGGAACUCGCUUCCUGAGCUGACGACAGCCGCAGAAACCAGGCCGCUGCAACUGUUUAUUAAAAACAUAGCACUCUGCAAACACGAAAGUGGACGUAUAGGGUGUGAUGCCUGCCCGGUGCUGGAAGGUUAAUUGAUGGGGUUAGCGUAAGCGAAGCUCUUGAUCGAAGCCCCAGUAAACGGCGGCCGUAACUAUAACGGUCCUAAGGUAGCGAAAUUCCUUGUCGGGUAAGUUCCGACCUGCACGAAUGGCAUAAUGAUGGCGGCGCUGUCUCCAGCAGAGGCUCAGUGAAAUCGAAAUCGCUGUGAAGAUGCAGUGUACCCGCGGCUAGACGGAAAGACCCCGUGAACCUUUACUGCAGCUUGACACUGAACUUUGACCUUACUUGUGUAGGAUAGGUGGGAGGCUUUGAAGCUGGAACGCUAGUUCCAGUGGAGCCGUCCUUGAAAUACCACCCUGGUAAUGUUGAGGUUCUAACUCUGUCCCGUGAUCCGGGACGAGGACCGUGUCUGGUGGGUAGUUUGACUGGGGCGGUCUCCUCCUAAAGAGUAACGGAGGAGUACGAAGGUGCGCUCAGCGUGGUCGGAAAUCACGCGUAGAGUAUAAAGGCAAAAGCGCGCUUAACUGCGAGACCCACAAGUCGAGCAGGUACGAAAGUAGGUCUUAGUGAUCCGGUGGUUCUGUAUGGAAGGGCCAUCGCUCAACGGAUAAAAGGUACUCCGGGGAUAACAGGCUGAUACCGCCCAAGAGUUCAUAUCGACGGCGGUGUUUGGCACCUCGAUGUCGGCUCAUCUCAUCCUGGGGCUGAAGCAGGUCCCAAGGGUAUGGCUGUUCGCCAUUUAAAGAGGUACGCGAGCUGGGUUUAGAACGUCGUGAGACAGUUCGGUCCCUAUCUACCGUGGGCGCUGGAAAUUUGAGAGGAUCUGCUCCUAGUACGAGAGGACCAGAGUGGACGAACCUCUGGUGUACCGGUUGUGACGCCAGUCGCAUCGCCGGGUAGCUAUGUUCGGAAGGGAUAACCGCUGAAAGCAUCUAAGCGGGAAGCCUACCUCAAGAUAAGAUUUCCCUAGGACUUUAUGUCCUCUAAAGAGCCGUUCGAGACUAGGACGUUGAUAGGUUGGAUGUGGAAGCAUAGUGAUAUGUGAAGCUGACCAAUACUAAUUGCUCGUGAGGCUUGACU